UACGUAGGGUGCAGGCGUUAAUCGGAAUUACUGGGCGUAAAGCGUGCGUAGGCGGUUUGCUAAGACAGGUGUGAAAUCCCCGGGCUUAACCUGGGAACUGCGCUUGUUACUGGCAGGCUUGAGUGUGGCAGAGGAGGGUGGAAUUCCACGUGUAGCAGUGAAAUGCGUAGAGAUGUGGAGGAACACCGAUGGCGAAGGCAGCCCCCUGGGCUAACACUGACGCUCAUGCACGAAAGCGUGGGGAGCAAACAGG
rnacentral:rRNA from 1 species